AGCGAACGCUGGCGGCAGGCUUAACACAUGCAAGUCGAACGCCCCGCUAGGGGAGUGGCAGACGGGUGAGUAACACGUGGAAACGUACCCUUUGGUUCGGAUUAACUUCGGGAAACUCAAGCAAAUACCGGAUAAGGCCUAAUGGGGAACGGAUUACUGCCGAAGGAUCGGCUCGCGUCUGAUUAGCUAGUUGGUGAGGUCAUGGCUCACCAAGGCGACGAUCAGUAGCUGGUCUGGGAGGAGGAUCAGCAACACUGGGACUGAGACACGGGCCAGACUCCUACGGGAGGCAGCAGUGGGGAAUAUUGGACGAUGGGGGCAACCCUGAUCCAGCCAUGCCGCGUGAGUGAUGAAGGCCUUAGGGUUGUAAAGCUCUUUUACCCGGGACGAUAAUGACUGUACCGGGAGAAUAAGACCCGGCUAACUUCGUGCCAGCCGCCGCAGUAA
rnacentral:rRNA from 1 species